UACGUAGGUCCCGAGCGUUGUCCGGAUUUAUUGGGCGUAAGGCGAGCGCAGGUGGUUUAUUAAGUCUGGUGUAAAAGGCAGUGGCUCAACCAUUGUAUGCAUUGGAAACUGGUAGACUUGAGUGCAGGAGAGGAGAGUGGAAUUCCAUGUGUAGCGGUGAAAUGCGUAGAUAUAUGGAGGAACACCGGUGGCGAAAGCGGCUCUCUGGCCUGUAACUGACACUGAGGCUCGAAAGCGUGGGGAGCAAGCAGG
rnacentral:rRNA from 1 species